AAGACGCAUGGGUUGGGCAGGACCAUCUGCUGUUGUCACCAGCAUGACGGUUCUGUUGUUCUGCGCUGCGCCGUCUACC
rnacentral:tRNA from 2 species